rnacentral:rRNA from 1 species
GACGAACGCUGGCGGCGUGCCUAAUACAUGCAAGUAGAACGCUGAAGAGAGGAGCUUGCUCUUCUUGGAUGAGUUGCGAACGGGUGAGUAACGCGUAGGUAACCUGCCUGGUAGCGGGGGAUAACUAUUGGAAACGAUAGCUAAUACCGCAUGAAAUUGCUUAUCGCAUGAUAAUUGAUUGAAAGAUGCAAUUGCAUCACUACCAGAUGGACCUGCGUUGUAUUAGCUAGUUGGUGAGGUAACGGCUCACCAAGGCGACGAUACAUAGCCGACCUGAGAGGGGGAUCGGCCACACUGGGACUGAGACACGGCCCAGACUCCUACGGGAGGCAGCAGUAGGGAAUCUUCGGCAAUGGGGGGAACCCUGACCGAGCAACGCCGCGUGAGUGAAGAAGGGUUUCGGAUCGUAAAGCUCUGUUGUAAGAGAAGAACGGGUGUGAGAGUGGAAAGUUCACACUGUGACGGUAUCUUACCAGAAAGGGACGGCUAACUACGUG